UGCUACAAGCAACAGACGAUUUUGAAAAUCCCAGGAGUUUACCAACGGUGAGGGAAUGGUGGAAGUCGGAACACUUGGCACAAAUGGUGAUGAACAUGGACCCAAGUUUAGAACGGAGUCAGCAUUUCAGUCGUUCCCUGCUGUCAACCCUUCUUCUCUACAAGCAAAUUUAUGCUGAAAAACAAAAUGCUGCCAAGCAAACAACCCUCACCACUUAAUGCAAAUCGCUGUAAUCUUUCUGCUGCUGGCAGAUCUAAGAGUUCUGUGGGUCUUCCUUCACCCCUUGCUGUGCUUGAUGUUAUCCUGAUGACCACAACCAACCACCUUAUCCAUGUACAGCUGCCCAACACCACAACAACCACUCAUCUCCCGGAGCGAACACACCAGCCACCAUUGACAUGUCCUGCCCCUUGGUCUCUGGAAUGAAGAGAACCACCACUGGGAGCACUCCACCAUCUUUUGUUGUGAGGAAGAUUGUAGCUGCACCAAUGAUCUGAUAUGGUGGGGGAUCGAAAGAUGAGGAGGGAACAAUCUGGGUGUUUGUAACUGUUAGCCCCUGGUGAGAUUUGUCGAGGUGAACACCCAAGUAUCUGUACGCCGCCACCACCACAACCUCUUCUCCCAGAAUGUAUCCACGCUGGUCUGCAAGCUUCUUCGAACUGCUACAUUUGUUUUUAUUUCAGAUUUGUAGCAGAUGUAGAUUUUUCGGGUUUUCAUUUGCUAUUGAAUUCCUGCAACUUCUCUU